CAGCAGCCGCGGUAAUACGUAGGUGGCAAGCGUUAUCCGGAAUUAUUGGGCGUAAAGCGCGCGUAGGCGGUUUCUUAAGUCUGAUGUGAAAGCCCACGGCUCAACCGUGGAGGGUCAUUGGAAACUGGGAAACUUGAGUACAGAAGAGGAAAGUGGAAUUCCAUGUGUAGCGGUGAAAUGCGCAGAGAUAUGGAGGAACACCAGUGGCGAAGGCGACUUUCUGGUCUGUAACUGACGCUGAUGUGCGAAAGCGUGGGGAUCAAACAGGAUUAGAUACCCUGGUAGUCCACGCCGUAAACGAUGAGUGCUAAGUGUUAGGGGGUUUCCGCCCCUUAGUGCUGCAGCUAACGCAUUAAGCACUCCGCCUGGGGAGUACGACCGCAAGG
rnacentral:rRNA from 1 species